GGGCCCGUAGCUCAGUGGUCAGAGCAGACGGCUCAUAACCGUUUGGUCGCGGGUUCGAUCCCCGCCGGGCCCACCC
rnacentral:tRNA from 1 species